rnacentral:rRNA from 1 species
UACAUGCAAGUCGAGCGGACAGAUGGGAGCUUGCUCCCUGAUGUUAGCGGCGGACGGGUGAGUAACACGUGGGUAACCUGCCUGUAAGACUGGGAUAACUCCGGGAAACCGGGGCUAAUACCGGAUGGUUGUUUGAACCGCAUGGUUCAGACAUAAAAGGUGGCUUCGGCUACCACUUACAGAUGGACCCGCGGCGCAUUAGCUAGUUGGUGAGGUAACGGCUCACCAAGGCGACGAUGCGUAGCCGACCUGAGAGGGUGAUCGGCCACACUGGGACUGAGACACGGCCCAGACUCCUACGGGAGGCAGCAGUAGGGAAUCUUCCGCAAUGGACGAAAGUCUGACGGAGCAACGCCGCGUGAGUGAUGAAGGUUUUCGGAUCGUAAAGCUCUGUUGUUAGGGAAGAACAAGUGCCGUUCAAAUAGGGCGGCACCUUGACGGUACCUAACCAGAAAGCCACGGCUAACUACGUGCCAGCAGCCGCGGUAAUACGUAGGUGGCAAGCGUUGUCCGGAAUUAUUGGGCGUAAAGGGCUCGCAGGCGGUUUCUUAAGUCUGAUGUGAAAGCCCCCGGCUCAACCGGGGAGGGUCAUUGGAAACUGGGGAACUUGAGUGCAGAAGAGGAGAGUGGAAUUCCACGUGUAGCGGUGAAAUGCGUAGAGAUGUGGAGGAACACCAGUGGCGAAGGCGACUCUCUGGUCUGUAACUGACGCUGAGGAGCGAAAGCGUGGGGAGCGAACAGGAUUAGAUACCCUGGUAGUCCACGCCGUAAACGAUGAGUGCUAAGUGUUAGGGGGUUUCCGCCCCUUAGUGCUGCAGCUAACGCAUUAAGCACUCCGCCUGGGGAGUACGGUCGCAAGACUGAAACUCAAAGGAAUUGACGGGGGCCCGCACAAGCGGUGGAGCAUGUGGUUUAAUUCGAAGCCACGCGAAGAACCUUACCAGGUCUUGAAAUCCUCUGACAAUCCUAGAGAUAGGACGUCCCCUUCGGGGGCAGAGUGACAGGUGGUGCAUGGUUGUCGUCAGCUCGUGUCGUGAGAUGUUGGGUUAAGUCCCGCACGACGCAACCCUUGAUCUAUUGCCAGCAUUGUUGGGCCUCUGACUGCCGGUGAAAGAGGUGGGGGAUGAGUU